CUCCUGGCUCAUCAGUCAUCCGACCUGAGGUUGUCGGGUGAAGGACCUUUCAACGAGCCUUCGGCACACACCCAGGGCUGAAGACAUUGAUCCUUGCACACUCACCCUGCUUGCCCACGGCUCUCCAGGACAGCUAGGUCCCCUCUGGCUAAGAGAGAAUGAGGGUGUCAGGCCUCAGGACAGUCUUCCUGAGGGGGCCAGGGCAUUUCACAAAGGACAAAAAUAGACAGGAGAGAGGAGAAAGACAAAGAGAUGGCUCCUGGAAUCCUUUCGGGAAUGAAGGUGUGUGGCCAGCAAGGGCCUCGGAGAGCAAGCAUCUACUAAAAGGACAAGCUAUUCCUCUCUGGGGAGAUACUGAAUGAAGAUGAAGAGCCUGGAAACGUACAGCUUCUCCCUUGCUAUUCCUUUCUGCCCGUAGACUGCCCCUGGCUCCUGGGAGAGGAUUUCAGAUUAAAUCUCAUGUCUUCAGUGCGGAUUCCCAAAA